CAGCAGCCACGGUAAUACGGAGGGUGCAAGCGUUAAUCGGAAUUACUGGGCGUAAAGCGUGCGUAGGCGGUUCGUUAAGUCUGUUGUGAAAGCCCCGGGCUCAACCUGGGAAUGGCAAUGGAUACUGGCGAGCUAGAGUGUGUCAGAGGAUGGUGGAAUUCCCGGUGUAGCGGUGAAAUGCGUAGAGAUCGGGAGGAACAUUAGUGGCGAAGGCGGCCAUCUGGGACAACACUGACGCUGAGGCACGAAAGCGUGGGGAGCAAACAGGAUUAGAUACCCCCGUAGUCCCUGUCUCUUAUAC
rnacentral:rRNA from 1 species